rnacentral:rRNA from 1 species
AUUGAACGCUGGCGGCAGGCCUAACACAUGCAAGUCGAGCGGAUGACGGGAGCUUGCUCCUUGAUUCAGCGGCGGACGGGUGAGUAAUGCCUAGGAAUCUGCCUGGUAGUGGGGGACAACGUUUCGAAAGGAACGCUAAUACCGCAUACGUCCUACGGGAGAAAGCAGGGGACCUUCGGGCCUUGCGCUAUCAGAUGAGCCUAGGUCGGAUUAGCUAGUAGGUGAGGUAAUGGCUCACCUAGGCGACGAUCCGUAACUGGUCUGAGAGGAUGAUCAGUAACACUGGAACUGAGACACGGUCCAGACUCCUACGGGAGGAAGCAGUGGGGAAUAUUGGACAAUGGGCGAAAGCCUGAUCCAGCCAUGCCGCGUGUGUGAAGAAGGUCUUCGGAUUGUAAAGCACUUUAAGUUGGGAGGAAGGGCAGUAAGCUAAUACCUUGCUGUUUUGACGUUACCGACAGAAUAAGCACCGGCUAACUCUGUGCCAGCCGCCGCAGUAAUAC